rnacentral:rRNA from 1 species
CUAUGUGAUCUAAAUACCUUGGGGGUACCUAAUCCCACCUGAACUUUUGAAGCUAAGCAGGGUCUGCACUGUUUAGUACUUGGAUAGCUGACUGCCAAUGAAUACCUUUGUAUGCUAGU